GACGAACGCUGGCGGCGUGCUUAACACAUGCAAGUCGAACGGAAAGGCCCUGCUUUUGUGGGGUGCUCGAGUGGCGAACGGGUGAGUAACACGUGAGUAACCUGCCCUUGACUUUGGGAUAACUUCAGGAAACUGGGGCUAAUACCGCAUAGGAGCUCCUGCUGCAUGGUGGGGGUUGGAAAGUUUCGGCCGUUGGGGAUGGACUCGCGGCUUAUCGGCUUGUUGGUGGGGUAGUGGCUUACCAAGGCUGUGACGGGUAGCCGGCCUGGGAGGGUGGCCGGCCACAUUGGGACUGAGAUACGGCCCAGAAUCCUACGGGAGGCAGCGGUGGGGAGUAUGACAGAAUAGGCGGAAGCCUGAUGCAGCAACGCCGCGUGCGGGAUAACGGCCUUCGGGUUGUAAACCGCUUUCGCCUGUGACGAGGCGGGAGUGACGGUAAUGGGUAAAGAGGCACCGGCUAACUACGUG
rnacentral:rRNA from 1 species